rnacentral:misc_RNA from 1 species
AAGUCGUAACAAGGUUUCCGUAGGUGAACCUGCGGAAGGAUCAUUAAAGAAUAUCGAGCUUCACAGCUCUUAUUCUCACCCUUUCGUUAUAUCAAACUUUGAUUGUCUUUGGCUAGCUGGCCUUUAGGGCCCUUGGCCCAGAGGCACCGGAAACCCAUCAGAAUCUCUGCCGUCUGAGUACUAUAUAAUAGUUAAAA